rnacentral:rRNA from 1 species
UACGGGAGGCAGCAGUGGGGAAUAUUGGACAAUGGGCGCAAGCCUGAUCCAGCCAUACCGCGUGGGUGAAGAAGGCCUUCGGGUUGUAAAGCCCUUUUGUUGGGAAAGAAAUCCAGCCGGCUAAUACCUGGUUGGGAUGACGGUACCCAAAGAAUAAGCACCGGCUAACUUCGUGCCAGCAGCCGCGGUAAUACGAAGGGUGCAAGCGUUACUCGGAAUUACUGGGCGUAAAGCGUGCGUAGGUGGUCGUUUAAGUCCGUUGUGAAAGCCCUGGGCUCAACCUGGGAACUGCAGUGGAUACUGGGCGACUAGAGUGUGGUAGAGGGUAGCGGAAUUCCUGGUGUAGCAGUGAAAUGCGUAGAGAUCAGGAGGAACAUCCAUGGCGAAGGCAGCUACCUGGACCAACACUGACACUGAGGCACGAAAGCGUGGGGAGCAAACAGGAUUAGAUACCCUGGUAGUCCACGCCCUAAACGAUGCGAACUGGAUGUUGGGUGCAAUUUGGCACGCAGUAUCGAAGCUAACGCGUUAAGUUCGCCGCCUGGGGAGUACGGUCCCAAGACUGAAACUCAAAGGAAUU